rnacentral:rRNA from 1 species
AGAGUUUGAUCCUGGCUCAGAGCGAACGCUGGCGGCAGGCCUAACACAUGCAAGUCGAGCGGGCGUAGCAAUACGUCAGCGGCAGACGGGUGAGUAACGCGUGGGAACAUACCUUUUGGUUCGGAACAACCCAGGGAAACUUGGGCUAAUACCGGAUAAGCCCUUACGGGGAAAGAUUUAUCGCCGAAAGAUUGGCCCGCGUCUGAUUAGCUAGUUGGUGAGGUAAUGGCUCACCAAGGCGACGAUCAGUAGCUGGUCUGAGAGGAUGAUCAGCCACAUUGGGACUGAGACACGGCCCAAACUCCUACGGGAGGCAGCAGUGGGGAAUAUUGGACAAUGGGCGCAAGCCUGAUCCAGCCAUGCCGCGUGAGUGAUGAAGGCCCUAGGGUUGUAAAGCUCUUUUGUGCGGGAAGAUAAUGACGGUACCGCAAGAAUAAGCCCCGGCUAACUUCGUGCCAGCAGCCGCGGUAAUACGAAGGGGGCUAGCGUUGCUCGGAAUCACUGGGCGUAAAGGGUGCGUAGGCGGGUCUUUAAGUCAGGGGUGAAAUCCUGGAGCUCAACUCCAGAACUGCCUUUGAUACUGAAGAUCUUGAG